UGAAGCACACUGAGCCAUGCAGCACUGCACCUAGAACAGAGAGCUCCAUGACAGCCUUCAGCGCUCGCACAGCCUGUGUUCCAUAAUUUAAGCACUAUUUAGAGACGCAAAAGCCUGACAUGUCCGGGGAAAUACGGACGGAUGGCAACCUUAGUAGCCAACAGACCCAUCUCCUAGCUGGUGACCACUUCCAGUUUCCAAGAGUCACCUACCCAGAAACUAGAUAUUGACCUCAAGGGAAAGCUUUAGUCACAAAACCGAGAUCGCCAGUCCUAAUCUGGAUCACCCUGAAUAUGAACAUUGGACUAUAACCUAUGGACUAAUUCUGAAAGAACUCUUUGCAACUACA